rnacentral:rRNA from 1 species
ACAGUGCGCUGGAGCGGUAARCACAAGAGAGCGUGCUCUCGGGUGACGAGCGGCGGACGGGUGGGUAAUGUCUGGGRAACUGCGUGAUGGAGGGGGAUAACUACGGGAAACGGUAGCUAAUACCGCAUAACGUCGSAAGACCAAAGUGGGGGACCUUCGGGCCUCAUGCCAUCAGAUGUGCCCAGAUGGGAUUAGCUAGUAGGUGGGGUAAUGGGUCACCUGKGCGACGAUCCCUAGCUGGUCUGAGAGRAUGACCAGCCACACUGGAACUGAGACASGGUCCAGACUCAUACGGGAGGCAGCAGUGGGGAAUAUUGCACAAUGGGCGCAAGCCUGAUGCAGCCAUGCCGCGUGUAUGAAGAAGGCCUUCGGGUUGUAAAGUACUUUCAGCGAGGAGGAAGGCGUUAAGGUUAAUAACCUUGGCGAUUGACGUUACUCGCAGAAGAAGCACCGGCUAACUCCGUGCCAGCAGCSGCGGUAAU